CAGCCGCCGCGGGAAUACGAAGGGUGCUAGCGUUACUCGGAAUUACUGGGCGUAAAGGGCGCGUAGGCGGCACGAUUAGUCAGGCGUGAAAUUCCUGGGCUCAACCUGGGGACUGCGCUUGAUACGGUCGAGCUAGAGGAUGGAAGAGGGUUGUGGAAUUCCCAGUGUAGAGGUGAAAUUCGUAGAUAUUGGGAAGAACACCGGUGGCGAAGGCGGCAACCUGGUCCAUUACUGACGCUGAGGCGCGACAGCGUGGGGAGCAAACAGGAUUAGAUACCCCUGUAGUCCCUGUCUCUUAUAA
rnacentral:rRNA from 1 species